AUACGUAGGUGGCAAGCGUUAUCCGGAAUUAUUGGGCGUAAAGAGUGAGCAGGCGGUUAAUUAAGUCUGAGGGUAAAGCGUGGGGCUCAACCCCAUAAAGCCUUGGGAACUGAUUGACUAGAGUACGGGAGAAGUGCAGGGAACUCCCUGUGUAGAGGUGAAAUGCGUAGAUAUAUGGAAGAACACCAGUGGCGAAGGCGCUUCACUAGCCCGAAACUGACGCUCAGUCACGAAAGCGUGGGUAGCAAAUAGGAUUAGAUACCCUAGUAGUCCACGCUGUAAACGAUGACAACUAAAUAUUGCCGCGAGGCAGUGUUGAAGCUAACGCAUUAAGUUGUCCGCCUGGGGAGUACGGUCGCAAGACUGAAACUUAAAGGAAUUGACGGGG
rnacentral:rRNA from 1 species